rnacentral:rRNA from 1 species
UACAGAGGGUGCAAGCGUUAUCCGGAUUCACUGGGUUUAAAGGGUGCGUAGGUGGGUUGGUAAGUCAGUGGUGAAAUCCCCGAGCUUAACUUGGGAACUGCCAUUGAUACUAUCAGUCUUGAAUACCGUGGAGGUUAGCGGAAUAUGUCAUGUAGCGGUGAAAUGCUUAGAUAUGACAUAGAACACCAAUUGCGAAGGCAGCUGGCUACACGAAUAUUGACACUGAGGCACGAAAGCGUGGGGAUCAAACAGG